AUUGAACGCUGGCGGCAUGCCUUACACAUGCAAGUCGAACGGUAACGGGCCUUCGGGUGCCGACGAGUGGCGAACGGGUGAGUAAUGCAUCGGAACGUGCCCGAUCGUGGGGGAUAACGAGGCGAAAGCUUUGCUAAUACCGCAUACGAUCUACGGAUGAAAGCAGGGGACCGCAAGGCCUUGCGCGGACGGAGCGGCCGAUGGCAGAUUAGGUAGUUGGUGGGAUAAAAGCUUACCAAGCCGACGAUCUGGAGCUGGUCUGAGAGGAUGAUCAGCCACACUGGGACUGAGACACGGCCCAGACUCCUACGGGAGGCAGCAGUGGGGAAUUUUGGACAAUGGGCGCAAGCCUGAUCCAGCCAUGCCGCGUGCAGGAUGAAGGCCUUCGGGUUGUAAACUGCUUUUGUACGGAACGAAAAGCCUUCUUUUAAUACAGGAGGGUCAUGACGGUACCGUAAGAAUAAGCACCGGCUAACUACGUG
rnacentral:rRNA from 1 species